rnacentral:rRNA from 1 species
UCAAGCUACAAAGGGCGCAUGGUGAAUGCCUUGGCAUCAGGAGCCGAUGAAGGACGUGAUAAGCUGCGAUAAGCUUCGGGUAGGCGCACAUAGCCUGAGAUCCGAAGAUUUCCGAAUGAGGAAACUCACAUGGGAAACCCCAUGUAUCAUUAAGUGAAUACAUAGCUUAAUGAAGGUAACCCAGGGAACUGAAACAUCUAAGUACCUGGAGGAAGAGAAAGAAAAAUCGAUUUUCUUAGUAGCGGCGAGCGAAAGGGAAAGAGCCCAAACCGGAAACUUGUUUCCGGGGUUGUGGACAUAGCAUAAAAGUGGAGGCUAUUGUAACUGAAGAGAACUGGAAAGUUCCACCGUAGAAGGUAAUAGUCCUGUAAGUGAAACGAGAAGACCACGAGUUAUGAUCCAGAGUACCACGAGACACGUGAAACCUUGUGGGAAGCAGGGAGGACCACCUCCCAAGGCUAAAUACUACCUGAUGACCGAUAGUGAAGCAGUACCGUGAGGGAAAGGUGAAAAGAACCCCGGGAGGGGAGUGAAAUAGAACCUGAAACCGUGUGCCUACAACCGCUCAGAGCCCCUUAUGAGGGUGAUGAGGUGCUUUUUGUAGAACGAGCCAACGAGUUACGGUAUGUAGCAAGGUUAAGUACUUAAGGUACGGAGCCGAAGGGAAACCGAGUCUGAAUAGGGCAACUAGUUGCAUGCCGUAGACCCGAAACCGGGUGACCUAUCCAUGGCCAGGUUGAAGCGAGGGUAAAACCUCGUGGAGGACCGAACCACGUUGCUGUUGAAAAAGCAUGGGAUGAGCUGUGGAUAGCGGAGAAAUUCCAAUCGAACCCGGAGAUAGCUGGUUCUCUCCGAAAUAGCUUUAGGGCUAGCGUCGAGUAUGAGUAGUGGAGGUAGAGCACUGAAUGGGCUAGGGGGCAUAGCGCUUACCGAACCUUAUCAAACUCCGAAUGCCACAUACUUUGAGCUCGGCAGUCAGACUACGAAUGAUAAGAUCCGUGGUCAAAAGGGAAACAGCCCAGAUCGUCAGCUAAGGUCCCAAAGUGUAAGUUAAGUGGGAAAGGAUGUGAGAUUUCUAAGACAACUAGGAUGUUGGCUUAGAAGCAGCCAUUCAUUAAAAGAGUGCGUAAUAGCUCACUAGUCGAGAGAUCUUGCGCCGAAAAUGUAACGGGGCUAAACUUACCACCGAAGCUACGGGCUUGAACUUAGUUCAAGCGGUAGGAGAGCGUCGUAACCGGGCUGAAGUCGUACCGUAAGGAGCGGUGGACUGGUUACGAGUGAGAAUGUUGGCAUCAGUAGCGAGAUGUGGGUGAGAAUCCCACAGGCCGAAAACCUAAGGUUUCCUCAGGAAGGUUCGUCCGCUGAGGGUUAGUCGGGACCUAAGCCGAGGCCGAAAGGCGUAGGUGAUGGACAACUGGUUGAUAUUCCAGUACCACUACCAUCGUUAUUAUCGAUGGCGUGACGCAGGAGGAUAGUGUGUGCUAGCUAUUGGAUGCUAGUCUAAGCGUUUAGGCAGUGAGAGUAGGCAAAUCCGCUCUCAUAAUGCUGAGGCGUGAUGGGGAAGGUUCUACGGAACCGAAGUACAUGAUUCCACGCUGCCAAGAAAAGCGUCUAGAGAGAGAAGUAGUGCCCGUACCGCAAACCGACACAGGUAGGUGAGGAGAGAAUCCUAAGGCCGGCGGAAGAAUUACAGUUAAGGAACUCGGCAAAUUGACCCCGUAAGUUCGCGAGAAGGGGUGCCUACGAGAGUAGGCCGCAGAGAAUAGGCCCAAGCAACUGUUUAGCAAAAACACAGGUCUCUGCUAAAGCGUAAGCUGAUGUAUAGGGGCUGACGCCUGCCCGGUGCUGGAAGGUUAAGGGGAACACUUAGCGUAAGCGAAGGUGUGAACUUAAGCCCCAGUAAACGGCGGCCGUAACUAUAACGGUCCUAAGGUAGCGAAAUUCCUUGUCAGGUAAGUUCUGACCCGCACGAAUGGCGUAAUGACUUGGGCACUGUCUCAACUGUAAAUCCGGCGAAGUUGUAGUGCGAGUGAAGAUGCUCGCUACCCGCGAUUGGACGGAAAGACCCCGUAGAGCUUUACUGUAGCUUAGCAUUGAGUUUUGGUAUUGUCUGUACAGGAUAGGUGGGAGACUAGGAAACCAGGGCGUCAGCCUUGGUGGAGUCAACCUUGGGAUACCACCCUGACAGUACUGAAAUUCUAACUGGCGGCCAUGAAUCUGGUCACAGGACAUUGUUAGGUGGGCAGUUUGACUGGGGCGGUCGCCUCCUAAAAAGUAACGGAGGCGCCCAAAGGUUCCCUCAGAACGGUCGGAAAUCGUUCGAAGAGUGCAAAGGCAGAAGGGAGCCUGACUGCGACACCCACAAGUGGAGCAGGGACGAAAGUCGGGCUUAGUGAUCCGGUGGUACCUCGUGGGAGGGCCAUCGCUCAACGGAUAAAAGCUACCUCGGGGAUAACAGGCUGAUCUCCCCCAAGAGUCCACAUCGACGGGGAGGUUUGGCACCUCGAUGUCGGCUCGUCGCAUCCUGGGGCUGAAGUAGGUCCCAAGGGUUGGGCUGUUCGCCCAUUAAAGCGGCACGCGAGCUGGGUUCAGAACGUCGUGAGACAGUUCGGUCCCUAUCCGUCGCGGGCGUAGGAAAUUUGAGAGGAGCUGUCCUUAGUACGAGAGGACCGGGAUGGACUGACCUCUGGUGUACCAGUUGUUCCGCCAGGAGCACAGCUGGGUAGCUAAGUCGGGAAUGGAUAAACGCUGAAAGCAUCUAAGCGUGAAGCCAACCUCAAGAUGAGAUUUCCCAUAGCGUAAGCUAGUAAGAUCCCUUGAAGAACACAAGGUUGAUAGGUCGGGGGUGUAAGCAUGGUAACAUGUUCAGCUGACCGAUACUAAUAGAUCGAGGGCUUGACCAA